GACGAACGCUGGCGGCGUGCCUAAUACAUGCAAGUAGAACGCUGAAGGAGGAGCUUGCUCUUCUGGAUGAGUUGCGAACGGGUGAGUAACGCGUAGGUAACCUGCCUGGUAGCGGGGGAUAACUAUUGGAAACGAUAGCUAAUACCGCAUAAGAGUAGAUGUUGCAUGACAUUUACUUAAAAGGUGCAAUUGCAUCACUACCAGAUGGACCUGCGUUGUAUUAGCUAGUUGGUGGGGUAACGGCUUACCAAGGCGACGAUACAUAGCCGACCUGAGAGGGUGAUCGGCCACACUGGGACUGAGACACGGCCCAGACUCCUACGGGAGGCAGCAGUAGGGAAUCUUCGGCAAUAGACGGAAGUCUGACCGAGCAACGCCGCGUGAGUGAAGAAGGUUGUCGGAUCGUAAAGCUCUGUUGUAAGAGAAGAACGAGUGUGAGAGUGGAAAGUUCACACUGUGACGGUAUCUUACCAGAAAGGGACGGCUAACUACGUG
rnacentral:rRNA from 1 species